rnacentral:rRNA from 1 species
UCGAGAAUCAUUCGCAAUGGGCGCAAGCCUGACGAUGCGACGCUGCGUGGAGGACGAAGGCCCUCGGGUCGUAAACUCCUGUCAUGGGGGAAAAAGGUCUCGUGCGUGAACAGCGCAUGAGCUCGAUGGUACCUCAAGAGGAAGCCACGGCUAACUCUGUGCCAGCAGCCGCGGUAAUACAGAGGUGGCGAGCGUUGUUCGGAUUUACUGGGCGUAAAGGGCGCGUAGGCGGCGCCGUGUGUCGCGUGUGAAAUCCCCGGGCUCAACCCGGGAAGUGCGCGCGAAACUGCGGUGCUCGAGCAGAGGAGAGGAGAGCGGAAUUCAUGGUGUAGCGGUGAAAUGCGUUGAUAUCAUGAGGAACACCGGUGGCGAAGGCGGCUCUCUGGAAUCUGGCUGACGCUGAGGCGCGAAAGUUGGGGGAGCAAACAGG